rnacentral:rRNA from 1 species
AACGUAGGAGCCUAGCGUUAUCCGAAUUUACUGGGCGUAAAGCGCGUGCAGGCGGUUCGGUAAGUUGGGUGUGAAAUCUCCUGGCUCAACUGGGAGAGGUCGCUCAAUACUGUCGGACUUGAGGUUGGUAGAGGGAGGUGGAAUUCCCGGUGUAGUGGUGAAAUGCGUAGAUAUCGGGAGGAAUACCAGUGGCGAAGGCGGCCUCCUGGACCAUACCUGACGCUCAGACGCGAAAGCUAGGGGAGCAAACGGG